UAAUACGGAGGGUGCAAGCGUUAUCCGGAUUUAUUGGGUUUAAAGGGUGCGCAGGCGGACCUAUUAGUCAGUGGUGAAAUCCCGAGGCUCAACCUCGGAACUGCCAUUGAUACUGUAGGUCUUGAGUUUGGUUGAAGUGGGCGGAAUGUAGCAUGUAGCGGUGAAAUGCAUAGAUAUGCUACAGAACACCGAUCGCGAAGGCAGCUCACUAAACCAAAACUGACGCUCAGGCACGAAAGCGUGGGUAGCGAACAGGAUUAGAUACCCUGGUAGUCCACGCCGUAAACGAUGAUCACUCGUUGUUGGCGAUACACAGUCAGCGACCAAGCGAAAGCGAUAAGUGAUCCACCUGGGGAGUACGAUCGCAAGGUUG
rnacentral:rRNA from 1 species